rnacentral:lncRNA from 1 species
GCUAGGUGCGUCAAGCUUUACAGCGUGUUAGGGAACGGCGAGCUGUCUUAAACGAAGAUAUUCACACUGUUUCAUUGUCUUCGUCAGGAUCGGAAACAUCUUCUCUGGCCGUAGAGGGUACAUUUCGUUUUCGUCUGAGUUACAAUGGCGGGCUUAGACGUUGCCGUCAACAUUGUGCUAAUAAAGUAAAUGUAGGCAGUGACAGUAACAAGCCAAACGUUCCCGCCAAGGGAACAUCGAAAGAAACAGAUGUAAUACCCUACGCAAGGUCUACAAGCACCCCAAUUUCACAUGGAAAAGAUACAGAAAAUCUUCCACUGAUCUAUAUAUGAUCAAGACAGCAUUAAUUCAAGACUAGAGCAAAUAAAUGAGCAAUAAAAUAAUCGAAGGUCAAGACGAUCCUUUUGGAGCGUAUAUACAAAUCAAGCAAACAUGAGGCAGAGUCGGCCUGUUUGAUCCGUUGGUAAAACAUCAGUGAUACGUUAAUA